CUGAUCUCGAUUGUAAAAGGCUGGAUCGCGGAUAGGGAGCGCGAGCGUGAAGAAACCGGCCGCCAUCUUACUGUACCCACAACAGUCGCCGCAGCGAUCAUGGCAACUUCUUGCAAUUACGGUCGUACCAGCCGUACUGGCAAGGUUACAGGGCCUAAAUUUAUACAGGUUUCGUCAUGAGGGCUACCCAGUGAAUAAUCUGUGCAGUGUGAUACGGCUGGGUGUACAGGUUACUUCACAGCUGCCUCGGCAUACUCAAGAAAUGGGUGCAGAACCUGCGUAAUGCCCACAAACUUUGACUACCACAGCACCUCCAGAAAGUAAAGGCAUAUGUGUCACAUGGGAUUUUUAAAGGCAUUCACAGUAUAUAAUACCUUGUAUGAACUGUUGUAGAUCUAAGCAGCCUCUACAGUACAUUCUCAGAAAUUAAAACUUGUCAGGGAACUGUGAUAAUUGUUUCAAUUAAUAGGCAUGCACAUAUACACUAUAAGAAGAAAAUUAUUUAUUGAGAAUGCA